UACAGAGGUCCCAAGCGUUGUUCGGAUUCACUGGGCGUAAAGGGUGCGUAGGUGGCCGGGUAAGUCUGAUGUGAAAUCUCCGAGCUCAACUCGGAAACUGCAUCGGAUACUAUCCGGCUAGAGGAAUGGAGGGGAGACUGGAAUGCUUGGUGUAGCAGUGAAAUGCGUAGAUAUCGUGAGGAACACCAGAGGCGAAGGCGGCUACCUGGACAAUUGCUGACGCUCAGGCACGAAAGCGUGGGGAGCAAAAGGG
rnacentral:rRNA from 1 species